AGUGAACGCUGGCGGUAGGCCUAACACAUGCAAGUCGAACGGCAGCACAGUAAGAGCUUGCUCUUACGGGUGGCGAGUGGCGGACGGGUGAGGAAUACAUCGGAAUCUACUUUUUCGUGGGGGAUAACGUAGGGAAACUUACGCUAAUACCGCAUACGACCUACGGGUGAAAGCAGGGGAUCUUCGGACCUUGCGCGAUUGAAUGAGCCGAUGUCGGAUUAGCUAGUUGGCGGGGUAAAGGCCCACCAAGGCGACGAUCCGUAGCUGGUCUGAGAGGAUGAUCGGCCACACUGGAACUGAGACACGGUCCAGACUCCUACGGGAGGCAGCAGUGGGGAAUAUUCGACAAUGGGCGCAAGCCUGAUCCAGCCAUACCGCGUGGGUGAAGAAGGCCUUCGGGUUGUAAAGCCCUUUUGUUGGGAAAGAAAAGCAGCAGGUUAAUACCCCGCUGUUCUGACGGUACCCAAAGAAUAAGCACCGGCUAACUUCGUG
rnacentral:rRNA from 1 species